rnacentral:rRNA from 1 species
GACGAACGCUGGCGGCGUGCUUAACACAUGCAAGUCGAACGGAAAGGCCCUGCUUUUGUGGGGUGCUCGAGUGGCGAACGGGUGAGUAACACGUGAGUAACCUGCCCUUGACUUUGGGAUAACUUCAGGAAACUGGGGCUAAUACCGGAUAGGAGCUCCUGCUGCAUGGUGGGGGUUGGAAAGUUUCGGCGGUUGGGGAUGGACUCGCGGCUUAUCAGCUUGUUGGUGGGGUAGUGGCUUACCAAGGCUUUGACGGGUAGCCGGCCUGAGAGGGUGACCGGCCACAUUGGGACUGAGAUACGGCCCAGACUCCUACGGGAGGCAGCAGUGGGGAAUAUUGCACAAUGGACGAAAGCCUGAUGCAGCAACGCCGCGUGCGGGAUGACGGCCUUCGGGUUGUAAACCGCUUUCGCCUGUGACGACGCGUGAGUGACGGUAAUGGGUAAAGAAGCACCGGCUAACUACGUG